ACCAGCCUUUGAAAGCAAGGCCAACGUGGCGGGUCGCGGCUGGAUCACGCGCGGUGGUGAGACCCCUGGCAGUGGUGCGAGGACCCCCACGUGUUCUGUCACUGCGUGCUGUGUGGUGGCCCUACUGCCGGGACGCUCACUGGUAGUGAAUGGGGCUGUCGGAUCUGCGGGAGCAAAUGCCACGGUGUUUCAGCCAUUCAAGAAUUAGAAUAGAAAUAGUGGCCAGGAAAAAAAAAAGAAGAAGAAGAAGAAGGGGUUGACUCCCAAAAAACCCCCGUCGCUUGAGAUUCAAGUAAUGGUCUAAGAAAAAAGAAAAGAAAAAAGAUGGGCUGAAAGCCGUGUGUAAAAACCAGAGGGUCUCCUGUGUAGCCUGCAGGUGCUCUUAUCUUCUGCAUUGGAAGUUUAGAGAAAGCCAAGGGCAAGUAUGGGAACAAGCAUCAGGUGGCCAAGUGCCAAAGAAUAUCAUGUGACUAAUCAAGGUGGUUUUGCUCCCACUAUCCGGACCGUGAUUGGGGAAGAAUGGGACUCUAAUAUCUGGGAUGGGGACAUAUGGAUUCCGUGUCCUUAGGAUCUCGAACACCCAGGUUCACCUGAAGCCUGUGAUCCUUCAGAAGUGACCCACCAUGUCCCUGCAGGGACAGGAAGUUUCUACGUACUGUUAAGCACUGAAUAAUCCAGCCAGGAACAUAGUAGGUCUGAUACAAGACAAAAGGGACUCUACCCCUAAGGGGGACCAGACUGAGACAGUAUGAACUGACAGCCGCUAGCAGGGAUUCAUUCCAGUUGCGCUCCAUCAUAAGCGUCCUGCACACUCAUCAUCUCAGGGUGUGCCUCCUGCAGAAGCCAGUUUGUAAUGUAUGGUUACAAGCGUCUGGAGACACAUUUACAGGUGAGUGAGCACCACGUGCGAAUCAGCACACCAACAUUCAGAUUAUAGAAUUAAGUAUCGCCGUUGCCAUUUGAUGAAUGAAAGUAUUGAGAGUUUCAGGUUAUAUACUUGUUUGUGAUUAACUAAUUAUAUUAACUACACAAGGUCUCAUGAGUUUUGUUUGUUUGUUUGUUUUUCUUGCCACACUGUUCUCUAUAUAAUGGCUUCUGCAAAACAGAUCUUCAGAAACCUCGUGGUUACACAAAGCCUUGGUAAGAGUCAAGAGAACAAAGCUUAGUGACAUCCACCCUACUUAAGCCAAAGCAAAGCCACCGUUAUCCGUUUUAAUAUUGUGACAAAUGGUUUUGUUCAAAAGAGAUCCUGCUGCUUCCAAAAAACCCAAAAAACAACUGGAAAUCACUGCCCUUCCAUGACAAAAUACAAUUCACUGAGCGUUAGCAGAAAUUGAAAGUGAAUUAUCAUCCUGAAUAUCUUAACACACACACACACACACCCAUUGUAGCUAUUAAGAGGCACAAAUGAUAUUUCCUAACUUUUCUUUAUCUGCAUUUUAGUUAAUUUUAUUUUUGUUAAUUCCACUGUGGUUAAUUUUAUCAAGAUUAUUAUAUCCUAUGCUCUUGGUAAUUAUAAUGCUUAUAAUAAUAGCAUCAAUCGCUUUACUAUAGUAUUUAUGAGUAUAAAUGUACUGUGAGAAAACAAACAAUUUUGAAAUCCAAAGGGUCUAAGAAUAUAAAUGUUGAACUGGAACAUAAAAUGUCUAAAAUAAUUUCAGUUUUUUGAGGUGCAUUUAAGGUCAAUGUUACAAAGAUGACUGUGCACACAGAACGUUUAUGGGAUGCCUGGAUAUCAAUUAUUUCAUGGAGAAUUAUAUCUUAAAAUUAUAUUUUUUGACUCCAAAUAUCCCCAGGGUGAUUUUCAGUAAACUGGAUUUCCACUUUACAAGUAUAAAAUUCUUUAGAUGUUUAAUUUUAUGUCAUAGGAUAUAUACUUUUAUGUAUUACUUGAUAUUUUAAUAUAAUCGAAAAUAAAAUAAGCCAAAAUGGAACAAAACAACAAAAUGUAGAGAAAUAGUUCUACUCAGUGAACAAAGAUGAUAUUAAGCCCAUUUGAACAACCAGAUGCCCAUAUCUGAAGCAAUUUUUAUUUUGCUCACAAAAUAGAAGUAACAGUCAAGUGUUAGUGUGAUAGCUGAAGUACUAAGUUCAUGGGAAAGGAAUUCCAUUUUCAAUAUUUCAGAAAUGCUAACUUGGUUUAUAUAUUUUCAAAAGUUUUUGAGGAAAUAAUCAGAAUAUCAGAAAAAAAGAGGUUAUCGGCUAUAAAGUACAAAAACUUCAAUUUCAGCAAACCUCAAGACUUCAUGUUUCUGAAUCAGAAGGUCAAAUACUUAAGCAAGAUAAUCUUUGAGGUUCAAUUUGAGAGAGGUAUCCACCUUUGAUCCAGUCAUUGUGAACAGCAGGAGUAUAUUACAAGUAUAGCUACUAGGUAUCCACCUAAAUGACCGGUGUUGAGAGUAAACUUUGCAGAGAGAGGGAGUCAAGGUGAGCUUGGAAAAUCGUUUAUAAGAGAUAUGUUCAGGUGAAGAAAGAGAAAAGAGAUACAGAUGGAGAUGGAGAGAAAGGUCAGUAGUUUCUCUUCAUUUGAUUAAUUAAUUUUGUUAUUAUUUUUUAAUUGAAGUAUAGUUAACACACAAUGUUACAUUAGUUUCCGGCAUACAACAUAGCGAUUCGACAAGUCUAUAGGUUAUGCAGCGCUCAUCCCAAGCAGAGUUAUUCGGUGUCACCAUCCAAUGCUGUCUGACAAUACCAUGCACGGUAUUCCCUGUGCUGUGCCUUUUAUCCCUGUCACCUACGCAAGGAAUUUCUCUUUCAGACCCAGAGAAAUCUAGAAUCCAUGCUAGAUGAUGAUCACUCCCUAGGACCAUACCUUCUCUUCUCCGUCUCCUUUGUUAACUACUGCAGUAGCUUUCUAACUACCCCAGGCUCCGCUCUUAAUUCUCUUCACUAUGUUUUCAAUAACAGACAAAGAAUGUGCUUCUAAAAUUGCAAAAGAAUUAUGGCAUUUAUUUCCCUAAAACUUCUUAAGGACUCCCCACUGCCCCUGAGAGCAAUGACAGAAAUCCUUAGUUAAGUAACGUUAAGUAAUGUUGUAGACUUCUCCAGCCUCAUUUGCUUACAUAUUUUUCCUUGCUCAAUGUGUUUUAUCAAGGUGACUUUCCUCAGUCCCUACAAACUGGGUGUGUGAUUUCCUCUGCCCCCUUUCUGAAUUCAUUAACUCCUACUUCUCUUCAUCUCUCCACUCAAUUCUUAAGUUCUUCUGGGGCCCUUCCAUGAUCCCUACAGACCAUAUCUGAUUCCUGAUCUACACUGUCAACUCUUGAUUUUUAAAAAAUGUCUAUCUUUCCUUAUUACAAAGUUUUCUGUGCUCAGUUAAUGUCAGACUCCACUAAUAAACCUUACAUUCCGUGAAGGCAGACCAUAGGUCUAUUUUUAUUGCCUUUCUGGUUUUUCCAUCCAGCACAGAAAAUCUCAACAAAUGUUUGGGUGAUCACAUGAGUGGUUAAGUAAAUAAAAAUAAUUGCUUCUUA